rnacentral:rRNA from 1 species
AUUGAACGCUGGCGGCAGGCCUAACACAUGCAAGUCGAGCGAGCGGCGGACGGGUGAGUCAUGUCUGGGAACCUGCCUGAUGGAGGGGGAUAACUACUGGAAACGGUAGCUAAUACCGCAUACCAUCAGAUGUGCCCAGAUGGGAUUAGCUAGUAGGUGGGGUAAUGGCGCACCUAGGCGACGAUCCCUAUCUGGUCUGGGAGGAUGACCAGCCACACUGGAACUGGGACACGGUCCAGACUCCUACGGUAGGCAGCAGGGGGGAAUAUUGCACAAUGGGCGCAAGCCUGAUGCAGCCAUGCCGCGUGUAGGAAGAAGGCCUUCGGGUUGUAAAGCACUUGCAGCGAGGAGGCGUUACUCGCAGAAGAAGCACCGGCUAACUCCGUGCCAGCAGCCGAGGUAAUAC